rnacentral:lncRNA from 1 species
AAGGAGGAGCGCUGGGAACCCGCGUUGGAGUGCGUUUCGGGGCGCGUGGAAACGCCCAGGAGAGCCAGGGGCAGCGGCGACGGCGCAGCCUGGAACGGCCAGGAGCGCGGGCGGGCAGCGGCCGGUUGCCGCCAGGCCUCUUAUUCCAGGCUGGCGGCGGAAGGGCCCUAGCGAAGCGCCAACCGAGGUCGUUGCAGCUUUACAAAGAAACGGAACGUUUG